UUUGGUAUCAGGAUACUGGCUUCAUAGAGUGUGUUAGGGAGGAUUCACAAAAGGUCACCUGUGACUACUGUGAACAUCUGUAUGCACACCAAC